GACGUAGGGCGCGAGCGUUGUCCGGAUUUAUUGGGCGUAAAGAGCUCGUAGGCGGCUUGUCGCGUCGUCCGUGAAAACUUGGGGCUCAACCCCAAGCUUGCGGUCGAUACGGGCAGGCUAGAGUUCGGUAGGGGAGACUGGAAUUCCUGGUGUAGCGGUGAAAUGCGCAGAUAUCAGGAGGAACACCAGUGGCGAAGGCGGCUCUCUGGACAGGAACUGACGCUGAGACGCGAAAGCGUGGGUAGCAAACAGG
rnacentral:rRNA from 1 species